UUGAGCUGUGCGAGGAUGGUGGUCCAAACGCGUUUUCUCUUCGCGUUCCUGCUUAUCGCGGCCGUUUUUCUCGCCCGCCAAACUCAAGCCAACGGAGAAAAAACUUAUCCCAGAGAGGAUAAAGAUGAUGGAUUGACAACCGAAAUUUUAGAAUCUGCCUUUCUCGCUCCAGAGAGGAAACCCGAAGAUCCAUGUCCGCCGGGAUUCGUCCUCAAAAGGGGAACAUGCAGGAUGACUCAUUCUUGAAAGGGGCCGUGUUCCUCGGAAGCGGCUGCUCCACGAUCAAAUUAUUUAAAAUGGAAUUAAAUUUUGAAUAAUAAAUUAAAAUUUAAUUGGAAAUAAUAAUUUUUCUUUACUCUUGAAGGUGGAACAAAAAUUUUGUAUCUUUUCAACCGCAGCAGCAUUUUGGAAACUGAAUAAAGCGGCGAGUUUAUUCGACAUUUAAUCGUUAAAUUUAACAUUUGAGGCCUAUAGGAAGCUGGAAAUUUAAAAGUUGCCGCGUAUCAAUGAAAAAAAUCGACUUUAUUAUCAUUUCGGGGCCAAAUGUCAAUUUUAAUGGGAUCCAAAAUAAAAAUAAAACACAGUAUACUCAGCGCUAUUUUUAUUUGUUUUUAAUUUAAAAUUAAAUUUCACCAAACGGACGGAAUGUUCUAUAACUUUUCGUUAUCUCCAACGCAAAAUAAAUCAAUAACUGCGUAUUUGGAUGAACGGAUGAGUCAGUCGCUUUUCAGCUUUCGUGAUGGUCCGAACGCGUUUCCUCUUCGCUUUGCUGCUCGUCGCGGCCGUUUGUCUCGUCUGCGAAACUCGAGCCACAGAGAAUGCAGCAGAUGGAGUGUCUGGCCCUCCACCUUUCCAUGCGAUGGUCAUUGCCGCUCCGGUUCGGUCCAUCGACGCUUCUUGUCCGCCGGGAUUCAUCUUUCAAAGGGGAAGAUGCAGGAUGACUCAUUCUUGAAAGUGUGUGUUCCUCUAAAGCGGCUGCUCCUCAUGAUCCAUGGUGGAAAUGUUCGAAAUAUUGUAGAAAAUUUGAAAAAUAAAAAAAUUGAAACAAUUUUUUAUUCUUUAUAAGCUAA